UACGUAGGGGGCUAGCGUUGUCCGGAUUUAUUGGGCGUAAAGAGCGUGUAGGCGGUUAUACAGGUCCGCUGUGAAAACUGGAGGCUUAACCUCCAGACGUCGGUGGAAACCGUAUGACUAGAGUCCGGAAGAGGAGAGUGGAAUUCCUGGUGUAGCGGUGAAAUGCGCAGAUAUCAGGAAGAACACCCGUGGCGAAGGCGGCUCUCUGGGACGGUACUGACGCUGAGACGCGAAAGCGUGGGGAGCGAACAGG
rnacentral:rRNA from 1 species